AAGUCGUAACAAGGUUUCGAUGGUCCCUCCACGAGGGGGGUUUUCUACGGAGACCUAGCACCCGCCCGCCGGCGGUGCGCCCGGCGACUCUAAACAACACAGGUGCGCUUAAAUGCUAGUUGAGUCGGGGGGCACUAGCGCCUCCCCGGCUCAGCGAUACCACCAAACUGCGGGGACUUCUUCCGGGCUUCAAGGAUACCAAGCGCCCCUAGACAAUAGGGUCGUGGCCGGGCUCAAAACUCCCGGGUACGGUAAAAACUCCUCGUAGCAGGCCCUUUUUUGGGCCCGAAGGAAAUCCGCAGCAGACGCCCCCAAUCUUCCGGGCCUCUGUUCACAGACUAGAUGGUGGUAGGUAGAUAUUUUACCUAAGAUAUAGUCGGCUUCGGGGUUCAAAGCCCGAAAUCAAUCGCGUCCGUAGGUGAACCUGCGGAAGGAUCAUUACCGAGAUGGGGUCCCUUCGGGGCCCGACCUCCAACCCUUUAUCUACCUUACCUCUGUUGCCUCGGCGGGACGUCGGCGUUUAGGCGUCGCCGUCGGCUCUCGGGCUCUCGAGCGCCGCCGAAGGGCCAUUUCCAAACUCCUCUCAACAAAGCAACUGAGUGAAUUAUUCAAUACUUCAAAA
rnacentral:misc_RNA from 1 species